AGCGACAAUAUUUUCGAAUAGUUUAAUCCAGCGGUCAAAACGAGUUGAUGGUCCUCCCGUAAAAUUUUGCAGUUGGAUGAGCAUAGUUUGUGCGCGUUGUCCUUUUUGUAAUUCUUGCAGAUCUCCUAUCGGAAUGACAUUUGUCACCAAUGAAUAUUGAAGUGGAUCCAUUUUUAUUGUUUGUUUUCUGUGGAAUUGCUUGUUGUUUUCUGUUGGCGUCGAUUGCGUGACGGGUGGCGCUGGCUGCUUUGUUUUGAUUGAAGUUGCGUUAAGUCUCCGCGUGGUGGUGUAUGUGGCGUUGUGUGGAAUUUGCUGGCUGUCUCGUUUAUCUGUAGUUGGUUUUGAUUUGUCUCCGCCAGAGGGUGGUUGUGUGUAUGCCUGCUGUGCUGUGAGAAUGGGGCUGAGGCUUUCGCAGCUGCUUUGACUUCUACUGUGUUGUCGGAUGAUAACGUUGUCGUUAAGGUGCGCUGGUCUUCUCGUUUGAUGAGGACUUUUAGCUGCUGUGCCGUGAAUUGUACCGUGUUCAGUAUUGCUUCCGGAAGAUCCGCUAGGUUUUCCAGGUGUGAGAGGAGAUUUAAAACUAGUUGGUGGGUUAGGUCUGGAACGGCUGCAAGGUUGACUAGGCGCCGUAGUAGGGAUGGGAGUUGAAGAAAAUCGUUGAUGAAUGUCGUUGAGUGAGCUGUGCAAAUUUUUUCUACGAGGCCCAAGGAUAGGUGACGGAGAAUGCCGUGAGGGAUUGGAUGCUGUUUCUUCCUGCUGCUCUGCGUCUUCGUUGGAGUCAGCGUCUUGAUGAAUCUCCCCUACUGCCUUGUACAUUAAGGGGCUAUCGUAAGGAACGUGGUUUGUGGCGGUCAUCAGACGAAUAAAGGAGCCAUGAAAUUAUUAAAAGUCACUGCUCAAGAUCCAACUUCUGUCAAAUCAUACUUUCUUCAUCCAAUGGAGCCUGCUAUUAAGAUUUGGUGUUUUUUCGACGUGCCGCAUUUGCUCAAGUGCGUUCGCAAUCAUCUAUUGACUCACCGCCGUUGUCAGGUAAAGAACAAUUAAUUUCCUUCUUGUAUGUUACACAUAUUACAAUUUAAAAAAUGCCUUGUAAAUAGUAUGCGUCGGAAAUAGUAGACGUCUACAACAAGGAGAAGAACAACGGCCUGCGGAUGUGUUUCCGACUAACAGAAGGUCAUCUCAAUCCAAAUAACUGGCAAAAAAUGACUGUUAGUAAAGCUGCCCAGUUGUUUUCCAGACACGUAGCCAUGGCAUUCAAGCAUUACCGGGAAAAACCUGAAACUGCAAUAGAUUUUAAAUGUAAAAAACAUUAUUUGAAAUUAAAUUUAUAACAAAUUCAAUAAACCUUCAUUUUUAGAUACCGCUCCAACUGAACGAAUGACCCUAUUAUUGAAUGACGUUUUCGACAUUCUAAACGGUCGAUUUCCUAAAGAGGGAAUAAGCAAAACAUCUUGGCCGAAGAAGAAAGAUAAGUUACAGAAGAUGUUACUUAUCCUUAACAUAACUGAAGAGAUAGCAAAUGAUCCGGGUCGUGACCGACAUCAAUUGCAGGACAUCAAAGUCAUGUCCGACACUAGUCUGGUUGCCUGGAGACUAGUCAUCCAUAGUGCCAUUGGUUUGGUUGAGGAACUUUCUUCAGCAGGAUUAAACGUGGUGUUGACUGGACGGUUCAAUCAAGAUCCUAUAGAGGUAAAUAUCAAUGUUUUUGUUAUUCAAUAUGUCAAUAAUAAAGUAAUACUUUGUAGAAUUUCUUCGGAAUAGUAAGGUCAAUUGACGACCAUCCAACAGCACAUUCUUGGCUCCAUAUCUUCAGAAUACUUUCCCUCUACAAUCCUACGAAAGUUGCAAUCUGGAAUGCGAAUGUUGACGGGAGGGACGCGGGAGAGGUUUUGGUCGCCUACAAACAAUGCCUGAUAAACAAGUUUCGUGAUUGUGAAACAAAAGCAAAAGAGAUAAAGAAGGAUCUCAAAGACAGUCUACAGAAGGAAUUGCUUUUACGUUACACCAACGACAUACCUGAUUGAAAAUCAGAUGCAACACGAGAUCAGCUAGUGUACGAUCUCUGCGGAUACAUUAUUCGCACACGCUAUGAAGUCUGUGUAACUUGUGAAGCCUGCAAUUACC
rnacentral:lncRNA from 1 species